rnacentral:rRNA from 1 species
GACGAACGCUGGCGGCGUGCUUAACACAUGCAAGUCGAACGAUGAAGCCGGAGCUUGCUCUGGUGAAUUAGUGGCGAACGGGUGAGUAACACGUGAGUAACCUGCCCUUGACUCUGGGAUAACUGCGGGAAACUGUAGCUAAUACCGGAUACGACCUCCGGAGGCAUCUCCUGGGGGUGGAAAGAAUUUCGGUCAAGGAUGGACUCGCGGCCUAUCGGCUAGUUGGUGAGGUAACGGCUAACCAAGGCGACGACGGGUAGCCGGCCUGAGAGGGUGACCGGCCACACUGGGACUGAGACACGGCCCAGACUCCUACGGGAGGCAGCAGUGGGGAAUAUUGCACAAUGGGCGCAAGCCUGAUGCAGCAACGCCGCGUGAGGGAUGACGGCCUUCGGGUUGUAAACCUCUUUUAGCAGGGAAGAAGCGAAAGUGACGGUACCUGCAGAAAAAGCACCGGCUAACUACGUGCCAGCAGCCGCCGUAA